rnacentral:rRNA from 1 species
UACGUAGGGGGCAAGCGUUGUUCGGAUUUAUUGGGCGUAAAGAGCGCGUAGGCGGCCCUGUAAGUCCGCUGUGAAAGUCAAGGGCUCAACCCUUGAAUGCCGGUGGAUACUGCAGGGCUAGAGUCCGGAAGAGGCGAGUGGAAUUCCUGGUGUAGCGGUGAAAUGCGCAGAUAUCAGGAAGAACACCCGUGGCGAAGGCGGCUCUCUGGGACGGUACUGACGCUGAGACGCGAAAGCGUGGGGAGCGAACAGG